UACGUAGGGUGCAAGCGUUGUCCGGAAUUAUUGGGCGUAAAGAGCUCGUAGGCGGUCUGUCGCGUCGGCUGUGAAAUCCCGGAGCUCAACUCCGGGUCUGCAGUCGAUACGGGCAGACUGGAGUUCGGCAGGGGAGACUGGAAUUCCUGGUGUAGCGGUGAAAUGCGCAGAUAUCAGGAGGAACACCGGUGGCGAAGGCGGGUCUCUGGGCCGAUACUGACGCUGAGGAGUGAAAGCGUGGGGAGCGAACAGG
rnacentral:rRNA from 1 species